rnacentral:rRNA from 1 species
CAAGGGGUAAGUAGAGUGGCAAACGGGUGAGUAACACGUGGGUGACCUACCUUCGAGUGGGGGAUAACGUCCCGAAAGGGACGCUAAUACCGCAUGACAUCCUGCCUUUGGACAGGCGGAGAUCAAAGCUGGGGAUCGCAAGACCUGGCGCUUGAAGAGGGGCCCGCGCCUGAUUAGCUAGUUGGUGAGGUAACGGCUCACCAAGGCAACGAUCAGUAUCCGGCCUGAGAGGGCGGACGGACACACUGGGACUGAGACACGGCCCAGACUCCUACGGGAGGCAGCAGUGGGGAAUUGUUCGCAAUGGGCGCAAGCCUGACGACGCAACGCCGCGUGGAGGAUGAAGAUCUUCGGGUCGUAAACUCCUGUCGAGCGGGACGAAUGCUCUGCGGUCGAACACACCGCAGGGGUGACGGUACCGCUAAAGGAAGCCCCGGCUAACUCCGUGCCAGCAGCCGCGGUAAUACGGGGGGGGCAAGCGUUGUUCGGAAUUACUGGGCGUAAAGGGCUCGUAGGUGGCCAAUUAAGUCAGGCGUGAAAUCCCCAGGCUCAACUUGGGAACUGCGUCUGAUACUGGUUGGCUUGAAUUCGGGAGAGGGAUGCAGAAUUCCAGGUGUAGCGGUGAAAUGCGUAGAUAUCUGGAGGAAUACCGGUGGCGAAGGCGGCAUCCUGGACCGAGAUUGACACUGAUGAGCGAAAGCCAGGGGAGCAAACGGGAUUAGAUACCCCGGUAGUCCUGGCCCUAAACGAUGAAUGCUUGGUGUGACCGGUAUCGAUC